GUCUAGGUAUAUCAGGUUGAAUGCAUCAGUUUCCAGCAGACCACUGAAGUUAAGCAACACUGAGCAUGGAUUGUACUUGGAUGGGUGAUUACCUGGAAAAAUUACCUACUUAUACU
rnacentral:rRNA from 1 species